rnacentral:rRNA from 1 species
CCUACGGGAGGCAGCAGUGGGGAAUAUUGCACAAUGGGGGAAACCCUGAUGCAGCGACGCCGCGUGAGUGAAGACGUAAUUCGUUAUGUAAAGCUCUAUCAGCAGGGAGGAAAAUGACGGUACCUGGGGAGGAAGCUCCGGCUAACUACAUGCCAGCAGCCGCGGUAAUACGUAGGGAGCGAGCGUUGUCCGGAAUUACUGGGUGUAAAGGGAGCGUAGGCGGGGAUGCAAGUUGGGUGGCAAAACUACCGGCUCAACUGGUAGUCGCACUCAAAACUGCAGCUCUUGAGUGAAGUAGAGGCAGGCGGAAUGCCUAGUGUAGCGGUGAAAUGCGUAGAUAUUAGGAGGAACACCAGUGGCGAAGGCGGCCUGCUGGGCUUUUACUGACGCUGAGGCUCGAAAGUGUGGGGAGCAAACAGGAUUAGAUACCCUUGUAGUC